GGAGGGGUGGCAGAGCGGACGAUCGCGACGGUCUUGAAAACCGUUAACCCGCAAGGGUUCAUGGGUUCGAAUCCCAUCCCCUCCG
rnacentral:tRNA from 1 species